UAGGGGAACCGCUAACACAUGCAAGUCGAGCGGUACACGAAAAAGUUUGUUUUCUUGCUGACGAGCGGCGGACGGGUGAGUAGUGUAUGGGGAUCUGCCCGAUAGAGGGGGAUAUCUACUGGAAACGGUGUCUAAUACCGCAUAGUGUCUACAGACCAAAGCAGGGGCUCUUCGGACCUUGCACUAUCAGAUGAACCCAUAUGGGAUUAUCUAAUAGGGGGGGUAAAGGCUCCCCUACGCGACUAUCUCUAUCUGGUCUGAGAAGAUGAUCACCCACUCUGGGACUGAGACACGGCCCACACUCCUACGGGAGGCAGCAGGGGGGAAUAUUGCACAGUGGGCGCAACCCUGAUGCACCCAUGCCGCGUGUAUGAAAAGGGCCUUAGGUGUGUAAAGCACUUUCAGCGGAGAGGAAGGUGAUAAGGUUAAUACCCUUCUCUAUUGACGUUACCCGCAAAAAAAACCCCGUAUAACUCCGUGCCCGCACCCGCGGUUAUACGGAGGGUGCAAGCGUUUCUCAAUAUUUCUGGGCGUAAAGCGCACGCAGGCGGUCUUU
rnacentral:rRNA from 1 species